rnacentral:rRNA from 1 species
CCUACGGGAGGCAGCAGUGAGGAAUAUUGGUCAAUGGACGCAAGCCUGAACCAGCCAUGCCGCGUGCAGGAUGACGGCUCUAUGAGUUGUAAACUGCUUUUGUACGAGGGUAAACCCCGAUAAGUGUCUCGGGUUGAAUGUACCGUACGAAUAAGGAUCGGCUAAGUUCGUGCCAGCAGCCGCGGUACUACGGAGGAUCCGAGCGUUAUCCGGAUUUAUUGGGUUUAAAGUGUGCGUAGGCGGUUUGGUAAGUUAGCGGUGAAAUGUCUGGGCUCAACCCCGAAACUGCCUCUAAUACUGGGGGACUUGAGUAUAGUUGCGGUAGGCGGAAUGUCUGGUGUAGCGGUGAAAUGCUUAGAGAU